AGGGGUGUAGCUCAGUUGGCUAGAGCAGCGGUCUCCAAAACCGCAGGUCGCGGGUUCGAGUCCUGCCACCCCUGCCA
rnacentral:tRNA from 1 species